GAGGGUAUAGCUCAGUGGUAGAGCGUGUGCUUAGCAUGCAGAAGGUCCUGGGUUCAAUCCCCAGUACCUCCA
rnacentral:tRNA from 1 species